rnacentral:rRNA from 1 species
UCGAGGGGCAUCACGAGGUAGCAAUACUUUGGUGGCGACCGGCGCACGGGUGCGUAACGCGUAUGUAACCUACCUAUAACAGGGGCAUAACACUGAGAAAUUGGUACUAAUACCCCAUAAUAUCAUAGAAGGCAUCUUUUAUGGUUGAAAAUUCCGAUGGUUAGAGAUGGGCAUGCGUUGUAUUAGCUAGUUGGUGGGGUAACGGCCUACCAAGGCGACGAUCGGUAGCCGACCUGAGAGGGUGAUCGGCCACAUUGGGACUGAGACACGGCCCAAACUCC